CACGUAGGGGGCAAGCGUUGUCCGGAUUUAUUGGGCGUAAAGAGCGUGUAGGCGGCUUGGAAGGUCAGCUGUGAAAACUCGAGGCUCAACCUCGAGACGUCGGUUGAAACCACCUGGCUAGAGUCCGGAAGAGGAGUGUGGAAUUCCCGGUGUAGCGGUGAAAUGCGCAGAUAUCGGGAAGAACACCCGUGGCGAAGGCGGCACUCUGGGACGGUACUGACGCUGAGACGCGAAAGCGUGGGGAGCGAACAGG
rnacentral:rRNA from 1 species